rnacentral:rRNA from 1 species
UCCGGAGGGUGCAAGCGUUGUCCGGAAUCCUUGGGUGUAAAGGGUGCGCAGGCGGAAGUUUAAGUCGGAGGUGAAAGUUUGUCGCUUAACGGUAAAAGCGCCUUCGAAACUGGAUUUCUUGAGUUCGGAAGAGGUCGGUGGAAUUCGUGGUGUAGCGGUGAAAUGCAUAGAUAUCACGAAGAACACCAGUGGCGAAGGCGGCCGACUGGUCCGAUACUGACGCUGAGGCACGAGAGCGUGGGGAGCGAACAGG